GACGAACGCUGGCGGCGUGCCUAAUACAUGCAAGUCGAACGCAGCGGGGACGGGUGAGUAACACGUGGGUAACCUCCCAUCAGAGGGGAUAACACUUGGAAACAGGUGCUAAACCGAUACUGAUGGAUGGACCCGCGUGGCAUUGGCCAGUUGGUGGGGUAACGGGUCACCAAGGCCACGAUGCAUAGGCGACCGGAGAGGGUGUUCAGCCACACUGCGACUGCGACACGGCCCAGACUCCUACGGGAGGCAGCAGUAGGGAAUCUUCGGCAAUGGACGAAAGUCUGACCGAGCAACGCCGCGUGAGUUAAGAAGGUUUUCGGAUCGUAAUACUCUGUUGUGAGAGAAGCGGUAUCUAACCAGAAAGCCACGGCUAACUACGUGCCAGCAGCCGCGGUAAUAC
rnacentral:rRNA from 1 species